rnacentral:rRNA from 1 species
AAUGCGGGUCUUACUAUGUCGAAGAAGUACCAUGUAUACUUAUGAGGUGACAUUUUCUACGUAUGUGCGUUGACCCGCGACGGCCGGGCCGUCGCGGUAAUACGUGGAAAACUAGGUUAUUCAUCUUUAAUAGGUUUAAAGGAACUUAGACGGUAUAUUAAGCCCAGAUAAAAAUCAAGGGUCCUAAUUAUACUAGAGUGUAAAUGAGAGGGGGGGUGUAGUGUUGGUGUAGAGAUGAAAUUGUGUCAUACCAAGAUGACAGGCUGCUGCGCAAGCAACCUUUUAUGUGUAGACUGACGUUAAAGGACGAAGGCUUUGUAUCACCAACAGGAUUAGGUACCCAAGCAGUCUUAGCAGACAAUUCUGAAUGCCAUAGAUAAGAAAAGAUUCUUUUCUCUCUAUCUCUAUUAAUAAAAAGAGAUAGAUGUUAUUUUGUCUAUAAAUGAAAGUGUAAGCAUUCCACCUCAAGAGUAAUGUGGCAACGCAUAAACUGAAAUCAUUAGACCGUUUCUGAAACCAGUAGUGAAGUAUGUUGUUUAAUUUGAUGGUCCGCACAAAACCUCACCACAAUUUGUAUAUUAUUAUCUUAAUACAGGAGUUGCACGGCUGUCUUCAGUUAAUGUCGUGAGAUUUUGGUUAGUUCCAUUAAAUUAACGUAAACCCUUACUUUAUUUAUGUUAUAA